CCCAGGGCCUCCAGAGCCCCGCCCCUCUCCUCCCCCAACAGGCUGGUCCGAAGCCUCUCUGCCUCCUCCUCUCCUCUCAAGAGCCUGUUCACCUAGCCGCCCGCUUUGAUCCACUGUCGUCGUGGCGACGGCACCCUGAUCCACCUCACCUGCCCCGCAGGUGUCUGCCCAAGAUGUGGGAGGAGCCUGCAGUGGCCACACCCCUUCCACUCCUCAACUGCAGCUGCACUUUAUUUACUGUUGCUAUGCUGAUGUUUUAAGCACCAAAAGUUUGCACCCCCAUUGCAUCCGCAGUGUUUAACUACUCAUACUCACUGUCUCAUACCGACUAACUAAUACCAUCAAAGACCUAUAUUUAUCACUAUAUGUUCUCUUAUUAUAAAUAUCUGUUAUAGAUAUAGUCAGGGUGCGAUUUGUCAAAACAACAGAGGGAGGGAUGUUAUUUUUUUGUUUCUUUAUCGUUCAAAAAUAAGCCAUCAACAGGCCUAAUUCUUUGUUUAAGUUAAUGGUAGGCCCUAUUAGCCUACCUUUCAAACAGUUGAACAUUCAUCUUAAAUCUAAACUAAAAAGACAAAAAAACAAACAGAUGUGUCCUCCCAUCCCCCCCAACAAAUCGCAACCUGUAUAUAGUGGAAAACUACCAUCAAAGACCUAUAAUUAUCUGUCUGUUAUAUGUAUUGAUCAUAGUGGUAAACUACCAUCAUAGACCUAUACUUAACACUAUCUUUUACCUGUUAUGUAUUGAACGUCCAUGGCGAUAGUGGUCGGCACUAUUUUCAAACAUGGAGUCUAACUCCAUCAUAGUGGACACCUCUGAACACGAGGAUUUCUUUACAUUAACAUUCAGAGUGUUUAACAGACACUCUUAUCCAAGGAGACUUAAAAUAAACCAUUUGUCAGAAGAAGUAGAAACAACAAUAUAUCUCUGUCGGUACAGUAAGGAUGUUCAUAGAACCAAGUGCUAAGCUCUAAAAAUCACUAUGUUAACCCAUAUCCAAAAUUCUAAGUACUAAAGAUAUCUAGGAUAAGAUGCUACACAAUGCUCAGUACUAAAGAUAGCUAGGAUAAGGUCUCGGUGGAAGGUCGGAGCUCAUCCUCUCAUGAGGUCUGUGUCGUGUUUCAUAUACGACGAGGCUCAUUGCACACUCGUGCACAACAACGGUAGGCUACUAAAGAACACACCCCCCCUCCUUCCUACAACUCAUUCAAUGCAUUACUUCUGAUGCGUCCUUUAUAGAGCCGUCUGUCCGACCCACUCUAGAUCCUCUGAACUCUCACACUGUCCCAGGAGGGACCGACGCAGCUAGGCUCUACGCUUACGCCUCGUUUCCACAUACGUAUAUUUUUCGUAUCCGUGAUUCCGUAAAUUUACGGAAGGGGUCGCUAGUGUUUUACGUACGGACAUGAAUUUAUUUACGGACAGCCAAAAAGACUGGGGAUCGUAUGAUAAUGGCCGUUUUUAGGAGACCGGUACUUUGGAACAUGAGGAUCGACAUAUACAGAGAUAAAAACAAAACCAAUCAGGCUUGGAAAGAGAUCGGCGAGGAGUUUGGCCUGCCAGGUACUUACAUGUUUUUGAAAAACAUAAAAACGUUCAUACGGUAUCUCCGUAAAACGACGGCGAAAGUUAACAUUUUUGAACGUAUACUACGGACAUACCGGACAGAAAUUUUACGGAGGGGAGGAGUCUCGGAGGAAAAACGGACAUUACGGAGAAUCACAUAGGAAUGAAUGGACUUUCGGUCGGAGACGGUUGGAUCGCAUACGAGAAUGUACGUUUGUGGAAACGAGGUGCUAAGCUAACACUAGGGGAGGGUUAAAAUAAAGACAUGGCCACAUAUGGUAGCCCUUCUUCGAGUGAUACGAUUAUCGAUACACUGGCGCCAAAUAUCAAUAUAAUAUUUUUAUUUAUUUUCAUAAUUUUUUACAAAGACGAGUAACUGAAAAACUCAGUUUGGACUGUGAAAAAAUACAAGUCCAGCACUUUACCUUUUAACGGUCAUUUAGUAUUCAUAGUUAGGCAAACAUGGUGAUGCAUCGUUGUAGGAUUGUCUGACAAUAUAUUGAUAUUGCUGUAGGUCGAUAUUAUUGGUAUCGUUGGCCAUGUGUCGGGUAUCGUAUCGGGAGGUAACCUGUGGUUUCCCCCCCUACCGAACCCUGUCUCUGACCACACCAAUGCUAAUAGCUUUUACUCUGCAUAGAACAGAAGUGAGGUGGUCCACUGAAGUAUGGGUGAGCUGAGGGGACCCCCACUGGGUCUCCUGUUCCCAUGGAAACGGAAUCUAAGCUUGGCUCUCCGCCAUCUCCGUGUUGAAGGGAAAUACUUUUAAACUUGCUUGAGAGAUACGUAUUAUAUUGGAAUAAAGAAUAUGUUUUUCUCUAAACAA